rnacentral:rRNA from 1 species
GAUGAACGCUGGCGGCGUGCCUAAUACAUGCAAGUCGAGCGAACAGACGAGGAGCUUGCUCCUCUGACGUUAGCGGCGGACGGGUGAGUAACACGUGGAUAACCUACCUAUAAGACUGGGAUAACUUCGGGAAACCGGAGCUAAUACCGGAUAAUAUAUUGAACCGCAUGGUUCAAUAGUGAAAGACGGUUUUGCUGUCACUUAUAGAUGGAUCCGCGCCGCAUUAGCUAGUUGGUAAGGUAACGGCUUACCAAGGCGACGAUGCGUAGCCGACCUGAGAGGGUGAUCGGCCACACUGGAACUGAGACACGGUCCAGACUCCUACGGGAGGCGGCAGUAGGGAAUCGUCCGCAAUGGGCGAAAGCCUGACGGAGCAACGCCGCGUGAGUGAUGAAGGUCUUCGGAUCGUAAAACUCUGUUAUUAGGGAAGAACAAAUGUGUAAGUAACUAUGCACGUCUUGACGGUACCUAAUCAGAAAGCCACGGCUAACUACGUG